CAGGGAAUCUUGCGCAAUGGGCUAAAAGGCCUGACGCAGCGACACCGCGUGGGGGAAGAAGGCUUUCGGGUCGUAAACCCCUUUUCUCGGGGAAGAGUGAGGACGGUACCCGAGGAAUAAGCCUCGGCUAACUACGUGCCAGCAGCCGCGGUAAUACGUAGGAGGCGAGCGUUGUCCGGAUUUACUGGGCGUAAAGGGCGAGUAGGCGGCUUGGCAAGUCUCAUGUGAAAUCUCCCGGCUUAACUGGGAGGGGUCAUGGGAAACUGCUAGGCUUGAGGGCAGUAGAGGAGAGUGGAAUUCCCGGAGUAGCGGUGAUAUGCGUAGAUACCGGGAGGAACACCCGAGGCGAAGGCGACUCUCUGGGCUGCACCUGACGCUGAGGCGCGAAAGCAUGGGGAGCGAACCGG
rnacentral:rRNA from 1 species